GGAAAUAUAUUUUAAUAAAAAAAUUAAUUUGCAAAAUUAAAAUUAAAACAACUUUUAUUUCCU
rnacentral:tRNA from 1 species